rnacentral:rRNA from 1 species
AUUGAACGCUGGCGGCAUGCCUUACACAUGCAAGUCGAACGGCAGCGGACCUUCGGGUGCCGGCGAGUGGCGAACGGGUGAGUAAUAUAUCGGAACGUACCUUUCAGUGGGGGAUAACGUAGCGAAGUUACGCUAAUACCGCAUAUUCUGUGAGCAGGAAAGCAGGGGAUCGCAAGACCUUGCGCUGAUUGAGCGGCCGAUAUCAGAUUAGCUAGUUGGUGAGGUAAAGGCUCACCAAGGCGACGAUCUGUAGCGGGUCUGAGAGGAUGAUCCGCACACUGGAACUGAGACACGGUCCAGACCUCCGUACGGGAGGCAGCUAGGUGGGGAAUUUUGGACAAGUGGGCGCAAGCCUGAUCCAGCCAUGCCGCGUGAGUGAAGAAGG